rnacentral:sRNA from 1 species
UGUUGGCUUAGGGAUUGAAGCGGCAUCCUUUUUAUGUUUACCAAGCUUUGCGAAGGUGAACAAAAAAAGAUAAAGCGAAAAGCCCGACCCCGA